rnacentral:lncRNA from 1 species
AGUGGGAAUUCCAAGGAUUAAUUUUUUUCUUCCAGAACCAACCCCAGACUUGUGCUUAUCUGACUCGAGGGCAUUGCUCUGUUUAGGCAUGUCUGGCUAUGGAAUGGAGUUUUGUGAUAAGGUAUGCUUCACAGCUUUCUAGGCUAUUCUUGUGUGUUUUCUCUUCCAAGUGAAUUUCAGAUUCAGCUUAUCAAAUUUGAUAAUAAUCCUGUUGGGUGAGGCUACACUGACUUACUGAAUAAUCGGAUGGAGAACUGCUGUCUUUAUAAUGUUAAGCCUUGUCACUCAUGAAUAUGGCCUCUCUAUUCUUUUAUGUCCUUCAAGAAAGACUAAAGUGUUCCCGUGGUGGCUCAGCGAAAAACAAAUCCGACUAGUAUCCAUGAGGAUGUGGGUUCGAUCCCUGGCCUUGCUCAGUGGGUCAGGGAUCCAGCAUUGCUGUGAGCUAUGGUGUAGCAAUGCAGGAUCUGAGCCGUGUCUGCAACCAACACCACAGCUCACGGCAAUGCCGGAUCCUUAACCCACCGAGGGAGGCCAGGAAUCGAACCUCGUCCUCCUAGAUGCUCGUCAGGUUCGUUAACUGCUGCUGAGCCACAACGGGAACUCCCCGGAUUAGAUUUUUAUAUGUUGAUCUUGCCGAAUAAGAUUAGUUCUAGCAAGUUACCGGUUAAUGGUCUUGGGUUUUCAUACUUUCUGCAAAUGAUGACUUUUUUGCCCACUGAAUCUGCUGCAAGUAAGAGAUACAGUUAGGAUUGGAUGUUGCCACUGUGCAUCAUUUUUGCGCUUGGGGAGGCAACAAAGGUUUCUUCUCUUUGAAGUGGUCUCCACAGAGUUGGGCUGUGGGUUCUGGAUACCCAGAUUCACUCAGACUCGAAGAGAAAAUAAUUUCACAGCAGUGACAUGUAAUACUGGCAUCUUGCAUUAUAUUGACUUGGGUAGAAAAUAAAUGGGCAGGAGUUCCUGUGGUGGCACAGUGGGAAAAGGAUUUGUCUCUGUGACCUCAUGGAUUUGAGCUCCCGCCCAGGUUGAGGAUCUGGCAUUGCUGCAGCUGUGGUGUGGGUUUUGGCUGUGUUCAGAUUCCCUGGCCUGGGAACUUCAUAUACUUUGAGUGUGGCCAAAAAAAGAAAGACAGAGAGGAGUUUCCAUUCUGGUUCAUUGGUCAUGAAUCUGACUAGGAACCAUGAAGACACAGGUUUGACCCCUGGCCUCACUCAGUGGGUUAAGGAUCUAGCAUUGCUGCAAGGCGUAUUGUAGGUUGCAGGUGUGGAUAGGAUCCUUUGUGGCUGUGGCAGUGGUGUAGGCUGGCAGCUACAGCUCUGAUCUGACCCCUAGCCUGGGAACUUCAAUAGCCAAGAUAUGGCCCUAAAAAGCAAAAAAAAAAAAA